UUCGAUAUAACGUUGUAGGUAUUCAUGGAAAUUAAUCUUCCUUAUAACGUUAUACGAUUCUAAUCUCGAUCCAAUCCAUUUGAUAGCCGAGUCAUGCAAUCAUUCUACAAACGAUAGCGGUCGUUAAGAUUUGUUUAUCUCGUUUCUUCAGUACGAAAUAAUUGCAUCCGUGGAAAAACAGAUUGUCUCGCGAUCGGAUAAUAGUAAUUAAAGUUCGAGCGAUUCGUCGAGUAAUCGGCACGUCGCGCGGCGGCGAAGUAAAAAUCGUAUUGAUCUUUCUCUCCUUACGUAAUCGCGAUAAUUAUCGUCGUCGAACGCGAACAAUCACGUGUAAUGCGCAGUUACGUCGUGUCUUCUUUAAAAACGGUGAUCCGCUCGAUAAAAAUCUCGCGUCGUUGCAGAGCUACGCCUUCGUCGAGAAUCGAUCGAGGAAGAUCCGCGGAUACGUAUAUUUCAAUUACACGCAUCCUUGAUAUUUCCCUGCCAGCUCGUUUGAAACCAGACAAAUGGUAUAUUAUGGUAUUACAGUUGAAUGGAAUAAACGAGGAGAAGGAAACGUCGUUCGAAGUGGGAGGCGCCCGAUCACCAACCAAUAGAAAGAGCCGCCACCCACGAAGCUAUAAAAAUUAAUUUAUCACAUGGAUCGCCGCCUACGCCAUUGCUCCGUUCGUGGCCACCUAGUUUCGCAGCAUCCCCCCAGAUAGCGCUACUUGUCGGGUCUUCCCCGAGGGCACCACGAUACGGAGAUACCAGAUAGCUAAUUACCGUAUGAGAUACGGGGAUAGAGGACUAACUUACCAACCGUAGUAAUGUCAUCGAAGACGAACUUCCAUAUCGUUGCACAGAUUACUCGAUGCACAGACAGGUACGAGAAUAAACGUAACGUUCGAUGCUUUUUUGAGCCGCGCGUAUUGGAGGUCAGCUGACGCUUCCAUUUACCAUUUCUAGCGCUCGACGUUAUCGAUUUGAUAUUAGCGCAGACGACGUACGAAAUAGAUUUAUCACCCGAUGUACUUUUUUCAUCCACGGUUUGAGGGUCUCUAGAACUUCUUUAUCAUUUUAACGUCAUUUCCAAUGUUACCGAUUCAGCGCACGAUAAGAUUACGACGUUCGUAGUGAUUGAAAUUAAAACUAAAUUUUAACGCGAAAUUACAAGUAGAGUAGAGGGCAAAUCAUAAUUGUAAGCGAAGUAUACACACAGUGGCGGUCGAAAGUAACGAACUAUAAAAAUUUCAAUAUUAUCGCGUUCUGAAAAACUUGUUAAACAUGUAAUUAACGUGGAUUUAAUUAUAUAAACUACGGUAUCAGAGACGCCCAGUGAUACAUGUCCUUUUAUACUCUUGAUCUUUGCUGUAGGGGAGAGGCUAGCUUACGUGGUGACCCCUACUGAUAUCAGAGGUGACAACGUAAAGACUCGCAUUCGGGUAUUUCGGGUGUCGAAUACGGAGCAGCGAUAGAUACAAAAGUUCCGAAUAAUUAUAUCGGUAGAACAGCAAGACGUCGGUAGACGAACGUCAUAAAUGUCACGUUUCUUCCAUACCUCGUCGGUGAUCGUAUCACCGACGAGUCGUCUGUAAUAAUUCCUAUAUUCGCCGCAAGAAAUCGCAGAGGGCGUAAGAAACGCUCUGACUUUUUGGCAAGUCGGUAUUUCAUAACCUAAGAAACGAAGUUCCAUUUAAUGUCCAUUUAACAUUGUAUCUUGAUCUUAGUCAAUGGUCACACUGGAAACUCACUUCUGGCUGCAGUUAUCAUACUUCGAUAACAUUGCCAAGUAUCUUCGCUGUUAAAACAGCGAUCUUGUUAUCCUAAAGUUUAGCAACAAUCAUCGGUAAUUCUAGAGAUGUCGCACGGAAUUCAAGAUCAUAAUUUGACCUUGGAAAUCAGUCGUUCUCCUUCACCUACUUACCUAAUGUGGAAUUAAAUUUAUCGAAUGUGACAUGAAAGCGAAAUAGAUACUUCUUUAUCUUUGUCAGUACUUGUGUUCUUAAGAAAACUUUUUCGGAGAACUUCGAUUUCAUUGAAAUGUACAUAUACUAUUUUAACUUUUGUA